rnacentral:rRNA from 1 species
UGCAAGUCGAGCGAGCGGAACCAGCAGAAUCACUUCGGUGAGGACGCUGGGAAAGCGAGCGGCGGAUGGGUGAGUAACACGUGGGGAACCUGCCCUUAAGUCUGGGAUACCACUUGGAAACAGGUGCUAAUACCGGAUAAGAAAGCAGUUCGCAUGAACAGCUUUUAAAAGGCGGCGCAAGCUGUCGCUAAAGGAUGGACCCGCGGUGCAUUAGCUAGUUGGUAAGGUAACGGCCUACCAAGGCAGUGAUGCAUAGCCGAGUUGAGAGACUGAUCGGCCACAUUGGGACUGAGACACGGCCCAAACUCCUACGGGAGGCAGCAGUAGGGAAUCUUCCACAAUGGACGCAAGUCUGAUGGAGCAACGCCGCGUGAGUGAAGAAGGUUUUCGGACCGUAAAGCUCUGUUGUUGGUGAAGAAGGAUAGAGGUAGUAACUGGCCUUUAUUUGACGGUAAUCAACCAGAAAGUCACGGCUAACUACGUGCCAGCAGCCGCGGUAA